UACGGAGGAUGCGAGCGUUAUCCGGAUUUAUUGGGUUUAAAGGGAGCGUAGACGGGAUGUUAAGUCAGCUGUGAAAGUUUGGGGCUCAACCUUAAAAUUGCAGUUGAAACUGGCGUUCUUGAGUGCGGUAGAGGCAGGCGGAAUUCGUGGUGUAGCGGUGAAAUGCUUAGAUAUCACGAAGAACUCCAAUUGCGAAGGCAGCUUGCUGGAGCGUAACUGACGUUGAUGCUCGAAAGUGUGGGUAUCAAACAGG
rnacentral:rRNA from 2 species